rnacentral:lncRNA from 1 species
UUGACGCAGGGCACGUAACCUUCAUACCUGUUUUCAUCUUCAGACCAAUUCCUUUUGAAGGCACGAAAUGUUCUUUUUUUCAGUUUACCAAAACCUCAACAUCCGCCACAAUGAUCAAAACUAUCUUCAGACCAAUUCCUUUUGAAGGCACGAAAUGUUCUUUUUUUCAGUUUACCAAAACCUCAACAUCCGCCACAAUGAUCAAAACUUGGACACCAGGUUCUGUUUUAAGACCAUUCUUCUUAUCACAUUCGAUUUUGUUGAACUUUUAAAUUCUUUGUAACGUGACUGGGUUAUUUUUUGUUGUUUGGUAGGGGCCUUGGGUACAAGUCUUAUCAUCAUCCUUCAACCUGCGAGUUCUUAUCGUCUCCAGUUUUUUCGGCACCAAGUGAUUUUGAAGUGGAACAGAAA